UGAUCGAGUUCGCCGAGUGGCCGAGCGAGACAGAAGAGCUCCUUGGCACUGGAUGCCUCCGGGUCUGGUUGAGAGAGGAAUGGUUAGGAGACUGUUCUGAGGAUACGCAGACAUCAUCCAAAGCUUCCUACAUUCAGAUGAGGACAGAGGUUGGGCCAGAGCUUUGUAAGCUUGUUACCUAAGGAUGGUUCUGACCAUGUAAGCAGAUCACAGAAGCUAUUCACAGAUCAUCAUCAGCCAGAGGUGACUUCUGUUGCUUGCAGCUCAGAAUCCUAGAUGUUUCCGGUGGCACUGAAGAGCCUCUGCUGAAGCUCUAUACCAUUUGCCAUUUACAAAGGGAAAUGAAAUAAUAACGCUGACCAUUUGUGGAGCACAUUCUGUCUGGAGGCAAAGGAUGCCAAGAUGGGAAAGCCACAUAAUGGAAGGAUCCUGGAUUUCAGAGCUGUCACUUGGAGGAGGGGCACCCAGUGAAGGUGUCUUAUCUAACCCACACCAUAUCUUCAUGAAGUGGCCAUAUGGAUUUGAUCCCUAUCCUUCAGAGGUGCUCAGCCUAAGGGAACACGGAUAGUAGAUUAAGCACUGACCAGGCUCAAGUUUGUACAUUCCAACUUGUUGUUUGGGCCUUGUUGGACAUAACUGAAGUCUGGAUGGCAGGGUGAAAAUUGGAUAAACAGCCACACUGACUCAGGGGAGAUUUUUUUUUAAUGCAAACAUCUGUUUCUUGAAUUUGGCCAUGGGGUAUAAAUCCUGCCUUCUCUCAGCCUUACAGAGGAAGAAAACCCUUUCCAAGUUUCCUCUGAUACUGGGUUUAUGCCCAAUUAUAGUUUAGGCAUGAAGAAACUGAAGCAUGGAGGAAAAACUUAGCAACUAGCCCAACGUCACACAGGCAAGCCAGCCUUGACAAUGUGCUGAUGGCAACCU
rnacentral:lncRNA from 1 species